rnacentral:rRNA from 1 species
UACGGAGGGGGCUAGCGUUGUUCGGAAUUACUGGGCGUAAAGCGCACGUAGGCGGCUUUGUAAGUUAGAGGUGAAAGCCCAGGGCUUAACCCUGGAAUUGCCUUUAAGACUGCAUCGCUUGAAUCGUGGAGAGGUGAGUGGAAUUCCGAGUGUAGAGGUGAAAUUCGUAGAUAUUCGGAAGAACACCAGCGGCGAAGGCGGCUCACUGGGCUCCACCUGACGCUGAGGCGCGAAAGCUAGGGUAGCAAACAGG